CUAACCUCCAGACAAAAGAAGAAAAAACAAAACAAAACAGGGAUCCAGAAGGAAAUGGAAAAGCUUAGAGGGUGGGUGAGGGGGCCCAGCAAGCAGCCAGCUCUCCUCUUUCCCGGCCUCUCCCUGCCCGAGUAAAGAAGCGGGGGCAGAUUCAGAGUUAAUGCUGUCGUUUGAUUACAGUAACAUCAAAACCGGCAGCAAAAGCUCCAGUCAACGCCAGAGCACAAGCGAACACGCAGGGGCUUGUUUCCUUGGAAAUGUUUCAGCGAGAGCAGCCCAGCCUGUUGUGCAGAGUACAGAAUGUUCUCUUCUGUGAACUGAGCUUGAACUUCUCCAACCCACUUUGUCUGAGGAAUCACACAGACACAGAGGGGAAAAGGCAGGGAAGAUAACCCCCAAAUUGUUGAAAUCCUUGUGUUCUCUCUGGUUUUGGCUCGCAUCGUUGGCUUUGCACUGUGCAAAAUGACAAAUCCCAAGCAUUGCAGCUCUUGGAUGAACAAAA